rnacentral:rRNA from 1 species
UAGGGAAUCUUCGGCAAUGGACGAAAGUCUGACCGAGCAACGCCGCGUGAGUGAAGAAGGUUUUCGGAUCGUAAAACUCUGUUGUUAGAGAAGAACAAGGACGUUAGUAACUGAACGUCCCCUGACGGUAUCUAACCAGAAAGCCACGGCUAACUACGUGCCAGCAGCCGCGGUAAUACGUAGGUGGCAAGCGUUGUCCGGAUUUAUUGGGCGUAAAGCGAGCGCAGGCGGUUUCUUAAGUCUGAUGUGAAAGCCCCCGGCUCAACCGGGGAGGGUCAUUGGAAACUGGGAGACUUGAGUGCAGAAGAGGAGAGGGGAAGUCCAUGUGUAGCGGUGAAAUGCGUAGAUAUAUGGAGGAACACCAGUGGCGAAGGCGGCUCUCUGGUCUGUAACUGACGCUGAGGCUCGAAAGCGUGGGGAGCAAACAGG